rnacentral:rRNA from 1 species
AUUGAACGCUGGCGGGAGGCUUAACACAUGCAAGUCGAGCGAGCGGCGGACGGGUGAGUAAUGUAUGGGGAUCUGCCCGAUAGAGGGGGAUAACUACUGGAAACGGUGGCUAAUCCCGCAUACUAUCUGAUGAGCCCAUCUGUGAUUAGCUAGUAGGUGGGGUAAAGGCUCACCUAGGCGACGAUCCCUAGCUGGUUUGAGAGGAUGAUCAGCCACACUGGGACUGAGACACGGCCCAGACUCCUACGGGAGGCAGCAGUGGGGAAUAUUGCACAAUGGGCGAAACCCUGAUGCAGCCAUCCCGCGUGUAUGAAGAAGGCCUUAGGGUUGUAAAGUACUUUCGGCGGGGAGGCGGUACCAGCAGAAGAAGCACCGGCUAACUACGUGCCAGCAGCCGCGGUAAUAC